rnacentral:rRNA from 1 species
CAAGGGCAUGGCUGGUUGGCUACGUUCGGGAGGGAUAACCGCUGAAAGCAUCUAAGCGGGAAGCCUGCUUCGAGAUGAGGACUCCCACCCACUUGAUGGGGUAAGGCUCCCAGCAGACGACUGGGUUGAUAGGCCGGGUCUGGAAGCACCGCAAGGUGUGGAGGUGACCGGUACUAAUAGGCCGAGGGCUUGUCCUCAGUUG